UGGUCGGCCGGUAGCUGGUGGACGCACACCCCGCAGUGGGAUCCCUGCUGCCUUCGUCAUCGCCCCCUCCUGAGCUGCCAGGCUCGCUUUACAGACCCCAGCUUCCUUUUAUUGCUUCCCCUCUCAGAUUGCAGCCGGGCCGCCGGGGCUAUUUUUAGCAGCCUGCCUUCUAAAAAUAGCCGCGAGCUGUUGGCAGUUGCGUCAGGAGAGGUACCUCUCCUCCGCCCGCCGCCUUGGCCCCUGCGCCCCGGGAGGCUACAAAAGGAGGCCGGGAGCAGCGGGGGUCAGCGGGUUCAGAGGCAGCCGCAGGCGGAGGAGGCGAGAGGCGCUCCGCCAGCUCCGGGCGCGCCGUGCCGGCACAAUGACCAUCUUCUGCAGCCACUGCCACAGGCCGCUGCAGGCAGAGGCGAGCUGCCUGCCCGGGAAGGCCAGGUCGGCGCCCGGCGUCUCCAAGCCGUUCAGGUGAGCUGCCCCUCGCCCGCGGGGCUGCAGGCUGGGCAGCGUGCAAUUCCCGCAGCCUGCCGUUGUGCCGGAGCAGGGGACGCCGUCCCCCCCCUCCCCAGGACAGGGCUCCCCAAAGAGCUGGCUUUGCAGGUCGACCAAGAGCGCCUCGAAAGCUCGCCGGGACCAGAUCAACGCGGAGCUGCAGGCGCUGCGCUCCCUGCUGCCCAUCUCGGCGCGGGAGAAGGAGCGCCUCUCCUACCUCCACACCAUGGCCCUGGUGUGCCUCCGGCUCCGGGGCGCUCACCUCUUCCCUCCAGGUACCCGCGGGCACCGCCGUACCUGCCCGGUGCCUCGCCAGCACGGCUCUGCACGGGGCGCUGCUCCUGGAGGAGCCUCACGCUGUGCUCCCCCUGCAGACUCGGCUCCCCCGGCGGGACCGGUGCUGGGUGCGGAGCUGCUCUCCCUGCUGCCGGGGUUUCUGCUGGUGCUCUCAGCCGGCGGCAAGCUGGUCUACGUCUCCGAGAACGUCUCCCAGGUCCUGGGCCUCUCCAUGGUAAGGCCUGGCCGCUGCGGGGUUGCAGUCGCUGUCCCCGCGAGGCUCUCCGGUGGCUUCAGCAGGCUGCGAGCUCGCGGUGUGCCAGCACCCGGCCCCGCGGGGCAGGCACGCUCCGUGACGACAGCUCCCCGACCAGGUGGAGCUUCUCGCCCAGGGGGACACAGUCUUCGACAUCUUGGAUGGGCAAGCGCGGGAGGACGUGUGCAAGAAGCUCCUCCUGGCGCAGGAGCAGCCAGGCAGGGGUAAGGCUGGGAGAACGGGAGGCUGCUGGGGUGGGGGUCUCACAGGUGCUGGGCUCUUUGUGGCCGCCUGGAAGGGGAGCGGGGCUGCCAGGGGAGCCCCUGACCCACCCCGGCAGGUUUGCUUCUCCGCAGAAGUCACGUUUGUCAGCGAGAUGUGCACAUCCAAGGCCUUCCGCCUGCAGCACGGGGGUAACCGGGCCGUGGCGGUGCGUGGGCGCUUCCUGGCCCCACGCUGGCCGGCCUCCCCCACUGCAGCCUUCCUGGCCCUCUGCACUCCGGUCCCACGGCUGGCUGCAGAGGGCGAUGCUGGCUCUCAGGACGACCUGUUCCACAGCACUCAUGCUCUGGACAUGA
rnacentral:lncRNA from 1 species